UCGCCGCCCGCGACUCUGCGAGAAGUCCAUUGAACCUUAUCAUUUAGAGGAAGGAGAAGUCGUAACAAGGUUUCCGUAGGUGAACCUGCGGAAGGAUCAUUG
rnacentral:rRNA from 1 species